rnacentral:rRNA from 1 species
UACGUAGGCAGCAAGCGUUGUUCGGAGUUACUGGGCGUAAAGGGUGUGUAGGCGGUUGUUUAAGUUUGGUGUGAAAUCUCCCGGCUCAACCGGGAGGGUGCGCCGAAUACUGAAUGACUAGAGUACGGGAGAGGAAAGUGGAAUUCCUGGUGUAGCGGUGAAAUGCGUAGAUAUCAGGAGGAACACCGGUGGUGUAGACGGCUUUCUGGACCGUAACUGACGCUGAAACACGAAAGCGUGGGUAGCAAACAGG